GAUGAACGCUGGCGGCGUGCCUAAUACAUGCAAGUCGAGCGAACAGACGAGGAGCUUGCUCCUCUGACGUUAGCGGCGGACGGGUGAGUAACACGUGGAUAACCUACCUAUAAGACUGGGAUAACUUCGGGAAACCGGAGCUAAUACCGGAUAAUAUAUUGAACCGCAUGGUUCAAUAGUGAAAGACGGUUUUGCUGUCACUUAUAGAUGGAUCCGCGCCGCAUUAGCUAGUUGGUAAGGUAACGGCUUACCAAGGCGACGAUGCGUAGCCGACCUGAGAGGGUGAUCGGCCACACUGGAACUGAGACACGGUCCAGACUACUACGGGAGGCAGCAGUAGGGAAUCUUCCGCAAUGGGCGAAAGCCUGACGGAGCAACGCCGCGUGAGUGAUGAAGGUCUUCGGAUCGUAAAACUCUGUUAUUAGGGAAGAACAAAUGUGUAAGUAACUAUGCACGUCUUGACGGUACCUAAUCAGAAAGCCACGGCUAACUACGUG
rnacentral:rRNA from 1 species